rnacentral:rRNA from 1 species
AUUGAACGCUGGCGGCAUGCCUUACACAUGCAAGUCGAACGGUAACAGGUUAAGCUGACGAGUGGCGAACGGGUGAGUAAUGUAUCGGAACGUGCCCAGUCGUGGGGGAUAACUGCUCGAAAGAGCAGCUAAUACCGCAUACGACCUGAGGGUGAAAGCGGGGGAUCGCAAGACCUCGCGCGAUUGGAGCGGCCGAUAUCAGAUUAGGUAGUUGGUGAGGUAAAGGCUCACCAAGCCGACGAUCUGUAGCUGGUCUGAGAGGACGACCAGCCACACUGGGACUGAGACACGGCCCAGACUCCUACGGGAGGCAGCAGUGGGGAAUUUUGGACAAUGGGCGCAAGCCUGAUCCAGCCAUGCCGCGUGCGGGAAGAAGGCCUUCGGGUUGUAAACCGCUUUUGUCAGGGAAGAAAAGGUUCUGGCUAAAACCUGGGACUCAUGACGGUACCUGAAGAAUAAGCACCGGCUAACUACGUG